AAACAAAAAGUGCAGACUGUAUGCACUCUCUG
rnacentral:tRNA from 1 species